rnacentral:rRNA from 1 species
CCUACGGGAGGCAGCAGUGGGGAAUAUUGGGCAAUGGGCGCAAGCCUGACCCAGCAACGCCGCGUGAAGGAAGAAGGAUUUCGGGUUGUAAACUUCUUUUAAGAGGGAAGAGCAGAAGACGGUACUUCUUGAAUAAGCCACGGCUAACUACGUGCCAGCAGCCGCGGUAAUACGUAGGUGGCAAGCGUUGUCCGGAUUUACUGGGUGGAAAGGGCGUGUAGCCGGGCUGACAAGUCAGAUGUGAAAUCCCGUGGCUCAACCACGGAACUGCAUUUGAAACUGUCGGACUAGAGACGGCGAGAAGUACGCGGAAUGCGCGGUGUAGCGGUGAAAUGCAUAGAUAUCGCGCAGAACUCCGAUUGCGAAGGCAGCGUGCCGGCGCCGGACUGACGCUGAGGCACGAAAGCGUGGGUAUCGAACAGGAUUAGAUACCCUUGUAGUC